rnacentral:lncRNA from 1 species
CUGGUUAAUAUGAAAGAAUGAGAUUCGAGUUUGACAUAAUUUUCUAACAUUUCCUUAGGGAUGGACUUGUUUCGGCCCCAAAAGAGGAUGAAAUCUGAGAGGCCCAAGACAGAAGGAUGAACAGAACGGACAACACCAAGAGUGGGUUGCAGAAUGGACCCCAUGCCAGCAAUGUUGCCCCAGAGGGUAACAAAUGGUAGCCACAUCCCUAAUGAGGAGGCAGCAGAGACCACAGGCCAAACACACGCAGCUCUCCCUCAUCUCCCAGAAGGCAGGUCUGUGAUUAAUACAACCCACUGCCUUACAAGAAACCUAAAACAACAACAACAACAACAACAACCACCACAAUUUCAUUCCGUCUGUCAUGUUCCCAUUACUCGGAUCAGCUGCCCCAUCUCCUUGCAAUCACCAUUAAACUGCAGAGAAAAUUACCCAUCUGAGGGCUGCAGUCCUCCCACAUAACCUGAAGCCAUUGCCAUUUGUCACAACAGAUCAUUUCCAGAGCUCUGACAACCAGCCCUGGAAGCAGGAAGAAUGCUCAUUUUCCUCACCCCGCCAGAGCUUCAGAAAGAACUCUGCCCAAAAUAGAUGCUAUUGAAGCAGGAGACACAUGAGGAGGCACACAGCCUAUCAAUACCUCAACGCGGGCCUCUCCUUGCCCUCCAUUCUAUUGACCGCCUGAGAACCACUGCUGGAAGCUUUGUAAUCCAAAACCAUCAAGUAUUCAUGGGGCUGGCAACCACAAAUAGAAAAUGAAUUGAAUCGCUCUCUUUCAAAUUAGGAUAAUGACAUUGUCUGGGAAAUG